UUAUAAAUUUGCUGGAAACCAGAUGGUGGAUAAAACUGAAGCUGACUGAAGGAUCAACAACAGGAUUCUGAUCUUUAGGCAGUAAAUACACAGUUGUAGAGAGAAAAGGCAAGCGGUAGAUCAGGAGCCGAGGAACACUGAGAUCAGAGAGAGAAGACUGCCAUGAGAGAGGAGGACAGCUGUGGAGAUUUCCCCAAAGGCGGAGUGAUUCCCCGGGACGAGGACAAGGAACGGCACAAUAAUAAAUGUCCCGUUGUCGUGACUCGAAAACGACUGACCAGCCCUAAGAAGGAGCUCAGUGCCGAUCUGCUGACUGAGGAUAAAACUGUCAUCCCGUCCAUCUCGAAACGUCCCAAAAAGAGUUCUCCAUCUCCUUCUUCAUCCUCUUCCUCAUCUUCACUGGUGCCGUUGGUGAGCUCGGUUUCUCCACUUCCUGCUCAGCAGUUUGAGGAUCUUCACUCUCAGAGAGUUAUCGCUAACGUGAGGGAACGUCAGCGCACACAGUCUCUGAAUGAUGCCUUUGCCUCGCUAAGGAAAAUCAUUCCCACGCUGCCGUCCGACAAACUGAGCAAAAUCCAGAUCCUCAAACUUGCCUCACGCUACAUCGACUUCCUCUACCAGGUGCUGCAAAGUGACGACGGACAGAUGGACGCCAAGAUGGCAAGCUGUAACUACCUGGCACAUGAGAGACUGAGCUAUGCCUUCUCUGUGUGGAGAAUGGAGGGAGCCUGGUCCAUGUCGGCCACUCACUAACUCCGACAUGAACACUCAGACAGAGACACUCAGACAGAGACACUCAGACAGAGACACUCAGCUGGGUUUCAUAGUUUUAAUAAAUGCUACAAGCGCUACGUUCGAACUAUUACCAUGACCACGUCCCUCGUCCUGUCCAGGCCACUUCAUAUUAAUCUUAACAAGUCUAGUGUUGAACAAAAGUCUUUUCUCAUUUAUUCUUCAUUAUUCAGUGUGCUUCUGACUCUUCUGUCCACUUCCUGAUUCUGCUGACCAAUCAAAAACCAGUCUGUUGUGAAGAUUUUUGUUAUGAGCUCAUUAAUGAUAUCACUGCUGAUCUAAAGGCCAUUCUAUCUAUAAACAUUGUUAACCUAACACUCCUGACAUUCUGACUCUAUCCUUCAUGUUAAACAAUGUGCAUUGUGGGUAUUCUGUAAAUUAAAUAAUAAGGACACUGAACUGUUACAGUGCAUUGUGGGAUUCCAUGAAUAAACUGAACCGCAAAUCGGCUGGACAGAACCAACUGCAAAACAACAAAACUGACAGGGAUACAGUGACCCAGGAGGAGAUAAGAGGAUGAAGGAUAAGACCAUGGGCGCAGAUUCUCUUCACCCUAAUAAGUGUGACACACACACACACACUUACCCUCCUUCACUAUGUAUACAGACAUAUCUUCUCACUAUCUGGCAUUUAACUAGCUGCCUAAGUAGCAUUUACAAACUUAAUUAGCAUUUACAAACAAAUUUUACAUUUUUAAUGUUUUAUUGUUUUUCCCCCCUUGAUUUCUUUCAAAAUCACCUCCAGCCAGCAUUUUAAAGAGGACCUGAAUAAAAUGAACAAUCUGAUUCCAUCAUCAGGGAUUUAACUUCAAAUCUCUAAAUAUAAAUUUCGCUGAAGGUAAACUGUGACAGUGUUUAUUGGUAAACUAGUGUAGAAAUAAAUCUGAAUGGAAUUGAACUGAAGUUUCAGCGAAUAAACCCGAACGUUCCUUCAGAAGAGGACUCCAGCUCCAGAGUUAGAGCGAGGUCAGUUUGUGGUCAGUUUGUAGUACUGAAGGAGUUCAAAAUGACUCGUGUAUGCUUUCAAAUAGUCCAUUCUAUUUUGACGAAACAUUUCUGACCAGUGCAGUGUGUAAACUAUGUGUAAACACAGUGUGUGUGUGUUUUCAGUACCACACACUUGUUAGGAGCCAGAGGUCUCUAUUACGUUACUUUAAACUCUAAAUUUUCUUUUUUGACUUUGAGGUCAUUGUGUAGAGGAGUUGUCACUUUUGUUGUGUUGAAAACAUGGAACCUUAAUUUUCUCACCCUGCUGUUUACAUCCACCCUAACCUGCCCCAUAACCUCUGUAACCUGCCCCAACACUGCCAUAACCUGCCCCAACACCUCCAUAACCUGCCCCAUAACCUCCAUAACCUGCCCCAACACUGUCAUAACCUGCCCCAUAACCUCCGUAACCUGCCCCAACACUGCCAUAACCUGCCCCAACACUGUCAUAACCUGCCCCAUAACCUCCGUAACCUGCCCCAACACUGCCAUAACCUGCCCCAACACUGUCAUAACCUGCCCCAUAACCUCCGUAACCUGCCCCAACACUGUCAUAACCUGCCCCUUCCAUAACCCAAAUUUGAAGAUUUUCCUGAAGCUCAUCUCUCUCCUCUGAGUCGAUUCCUUCAUCUCCAGCAGAUCCUGAUGUGUUCAUUGGAAAAGACAUUACAGACUGAGCUCAUUGUCCAUCUGGAGUAUGUUUCUGCUCUCCAUCUCCACCGUCUAGCUCUGCUUCCUCUCCAUGCUUCAUCACAUGAUGAGUAAAUGUUAGCCAUUAGCAGUUUGUCCAUUCCAGCAUUAAAACCUACACAAUUCCCUUUUUAUCUGUUUUAAUAAAACCUCUUUAAUA